AACGAACGCUGGCGGCGUGCCUAACACAUGCAAGUCGAGCGAGAAAAGGGGAGCAAUCCCCUGAGUACAGCGGCGCACGGGUGAGUAACACGUAGGUGAUCUCCCCUCGAGCCCGGAAUAACCUACCGAAAGGUGGGCUAAUACCGGAUAUGACCACGGGAGUUUUGGCUCCUGCGGUGAAAGAUGGCCUCUACCUGUAAGCUAUCACUCAAGGAUGAGCCUGCGUGCCAUUAGCUAGUUGGUGAGGUAACGGCUCACCAAGGCUAUGAUGGCUAGCUGGUCUGAGAGGAUGGCCAGCCACACUGGGACUGAAACACGGCCCAGACCCCUACGGGAGGCAGCAGUGGGGGAUAUUGCGCAAUGGGCGAAAGCCUGACGCAGCGACGCCGCGUGGGUGAUGAAGGCCUCGGUCGUAA
rnacentral:rRNA from 1 species